CACAGCACAGCCGCUUAUUCUCACAGCAGCUUUUUUUCAAAGCACAGCAAUACCAAACUAGCCCUUACAAAGAUGGUACAACGGCUUACCAUUAGCCACACAAUUGCGGUUCUCCUUUUAACUUGCAUCUUGCCACCGACCUGAAUAAUAUUGUCGGAUUUUUAUCGCAAAUAAUCCUUGAAAUUGACUCUCACCAUCAAGAUAGUCUCUGAAAUUGAAAAUCAAUCAAUAUAGUCCCUGAAAAUAAGUGUCGUAAAUCAAUGUGAUCAUUUCGUUACAAAUCUGUUAAAAAUUCCGUUAAGUGUUGAUGUGGCACAUAAAUGGGUCUCAUAAGUCAUUUUUCUCAUAAAUGGUCCUUCAAAUUAACUCGUGGCAUCAAAAUAGUCCCUGAAAUUGACAUGCGACAUCAAAAUGGUCCUUGAAAUUGAAAAUCGAUCAAUGUAGUUUCUCAAGUAAGUGUCCCAAAUUAAUGUAGUCAUUCCGUCACAAUUCUGUCAAAAAUUCUAUUAUGUGCUGAUGUAACACAUAAAUGGAUCACACAAAUCUAAUUAAAUUUAAAAAAUUACAAAUAGGUUUAAUAAUUUAAUAGUUAAUAAAAAGUUAUGAUCCCAAAACCCAGUCCUGCAAUCACAUCCAAUCCCAGUCCACAUUCCUCUACCUCAUUCGUUGUCUAUUCUCUAAAAAAUCUCAAUACACCCAUCUUUACACACUUCGACACCCUUCACCGAAUUGAACCUAGAUCAAGAUCACCUUUGGUGAGGGUCAAUUUCAUUGUGCAACCUAGACCGACACAUUUCGACACUCUAUUCGAAGUAGGUCCUACUAUAAGGAAAAAAAAAAUCUAUUGUGCAAAAAGGUAUUUAGACAACUUUUUAAAUUAUUUAUUAAACCUACAUCAACACAUAACGUUUUUUUUUUACAGAAUUGUGGCAAAAUGAUCAUAUUGAUUUAUGACACCUAUUUUCAAGGACUACAUUCAUAGAUUUUCAAUUUUAAGAACCAUCUUAAUGGUGUGGGUCAAUUUCAUGGACUAUUGAUGUUGUGAGUCAAUUUCAGGGCUCAUUUAUGUGUCACAUCAGCACUUAACAAAAAUUUUAACAGCAUUGUGACGGAAGGACCACAUUGAUUUGCGACACCGGGACUACAUUGAUUGAUUUUCAAUUUCAGGGACCAUCUUGAUGGUGAGGGUAAAUUCUAGGGACCAUUUGUGAUAAAAACCCUAAUAUUACUUAUUAGAAGUGGAACCACUCAACAUAUAUUGUAAUUUUAAUUUUUUUAUAUGAAAUUUUGGUAUUCUUCAACACACUCCCUCAUGUGAAACCACCAAAAAGUGGAUCACAAGUGACAUCAAUCAUUCAAGCACAAAAUCUAGGCAAUGUAGUAAACACGAUAAUUCAGGCAAAACAAAAUAAAAAUCCAAUUCAAGCCUAGUAAAAAAAAAAAACCCCCCGCAUUGAGAUCAUGUACAACGAAUAUAGUUUUAGUUUUUGCAUAUUGAACAUUGUUCUAAA
rnacentral:lncRNA from 1 species